UACGUAGGGUGCAAGCGUUGUCCGGAAUUAUUGGGCGUAAAAGAGCUCGUAGGCGGUUUGUCGCGUCGGCUGUGAAAAGCCCCGGAGCUCAACUCCGGGUCUGCAGUCGAUACGGGCGACUUGAGUGUUGCAGGGGAGACUGGAAUUCCUGGUGUAGCGGUGAAAUGCGCAGAUAUCAGGAGGAACACCGGUGGCGAAGGCGGG
rnacentral:rRNA from 1 species